GCCGGGUGUGGCGGCUCACGCCUGUAAUCACAGCACUUUGGGAGGCCGAGGCAGGGGGAUUGCUUGAGCCCAGGAGUUUGAAAGCAGCCUGGGCAACAUAGCAAGACCCUGUCUCUG
rnacentral:SRP_RNA from 1 species